rnacentral:rRNA from 1 species
UACGUAGGGUGCAAGCGUUGUCCGGAAUUAUUGGGCGUAAAGAGCUCGUAGGCGGUUUGUCGCGUCUGCUGUGAAAACGCGAGGCUCAACCUCGCGCCUGCAGUGGGUACGGGCAGACUAGAGUGCGGUAGGGGAGAUUGGAAUUCCUGGUGUAGCGGUGGAAUGCGCAGAUAUCAGGAGGAACACCGAUGGGCGAAGGCAGAUCUCUGGGCCCUAACUGCGCUGAGGAGCGAAAGCAUGGGGGAGCGAACAGG